UUUUUCCUUUCUUUUUCACUGAUGUGGUCUUCAACACCAAUCGCACAGUCGAAAAGCUUCGGGUCCGAUCUCAAAGUUUUUUUUUGGCGGCCCAGUUUAGAAGUUCAAAAUAGCAAAAACGCAAUUGUACAGUUUUUUUUUGUUUUGUUUCGUUUUCGUAGCUAAGGCAUGCGGGCGAAGAAGAAGAGAUGAAGCAAAAUUAGAAAAGUCUAUAGCAGAUCUACAGCAGAAUGGUUUUUUUAAAAAUUCAGAGCUCAAUCUCGUUCUUCAAUUAGUUUCAGAAUCAGGCAUUGUUAUGUGAUUUUAGUUUAUUCGAUUUCGUCCGAAUUGUCUCGUACUACUAGUCGCAUUAGUCUUGUAGUGAGUUGAUUUUGGAGUUCGUUGUGGCUUUUUUUUUGUGUGUGUUUUAAAUGGUGAGGUAAAUUGGUAAACGAUUCAUAGUUUGAUUUUGGUUUCCAAGUGAGUUUGAGUAUUGAAUUCUGAUUUGAGCUUAUAUAUGGAGGAGCCUUGCGAUAUGGAAUUUGGAACUCUGAAAGGGAUUCUGAAUAUGAGCUAACUGAUUCAUGGCUGGUGUUUGUUUGUGUUAAAACUGUAGUGUUAGUUUUUCGUUUUCUCAAAGGAAAGUUAAUUUGGAUUUUGUUUCUAGCAGAAGAGUUGUCUAAUUUGGUGGUAUAAAGUUUCAGAAAAGUGAUUAGACCUAAGUUGAAUUGAGUUGGUGAUGCCAUUAGCUUUGUGAACUGUUAACUCUUUUUAUAUAUAUAUAUCCUCUUCUUAUCAACAACUAACUUCUUAUGAUUACUUCUUUACUAGUCAUUUGUAUCAGCUUUGAAAAGUGAAAAAAGUGAGCACUUUGAGCUUCUCAUGUGUUUUCCUUUUACGUUUUUCAGUAUUCAAAAAGAGAGAAGAAUUGCACAAGUACGGGGAGCACUCAGUCCAAUCCAGGACACAGUAAAUCCAACAACAAAAAGUCAGUUAUAUUUUUCAGAGACUGGCCAUGGCAGAGAGCAUGUUCUGAUCAUAACUCGCAAAUGUCAAUGUUCCUAUCAAAAGCACCAUCAGAAUCUGAUACCAGUAAAAGCCACUAAAUGGAAGUUGUUUCAUCAAGAGUUUCUGGUGCGUGAAAGCUCUUUUUGCUGGCAAAAAUGAUGGCUCAAAGACACAUCUGCAAGACCUUCCAAGUUUAGACCUUGGAGUUUAAGCAAGCAUCAACA